GGCAUUAAUAAGGCUGUGUGGGGUAUGAGACAAAACGCUUCAUGAUUGUGGGAAAGGCACCUAGUCCGGUAAGGACAAAUGGUUUAUAGACGAUCUGAAGUUAACCACUGUCAGAAUCUCGGUAUCAACGCAUCAGGGUGGGGAGAAGCUGCCCCAGGAAGAUGGCACGGUGAAAAAUGUGUUGAUCCACUGGACAUGAUAACAAAAAAAAAUUAGUCUUCUUAAGACCAAGCUUGGGGAGUUGUAUAUUUGAUUCCUUGACUAUACAAGAAAUGAGAAUCCCUCUGUGUAAGAUAUAGAAUGAAAGUAUGGAGUUAACUUUUGACCUC
rnacentral:lncRNA from 1 species